UACGGAGGAGGCAAGCGUUAUCCGGAAUUAUUGGGCGUAAAGCGUCCGCAGGUGGCACCUCAAGUCUGCUGUGAAAGACCGGGGCUUAACCCCAGAAAGGCAGUGGAAACUGAAGUGCUAGAGUGCAGUAGGGGUAGAGGGAAUUCCCGGUGUAGCGGUGAAAUGCGUAGAGAUCGGGAAGAACAUCGGUGGCGAAAGCGCUCUGCUGGACUGCAACUGACACUCAGGGACGAAAGCUAGGGGAGCGAAUGGG
rnacentral:rRNA from 1 species